CUGCACGCGCGGUCCGGACGGCUUUGGGGGGGCGUUGGGCUCGCGACCCACCAGGUCGGGCUCUUUCCCACCCCCUCCGAGUGGCCCGAAGGCUUGAUUGAUUGGCAGGAGGCGCAGCGAGUGAUCGGAGCCCGCAACUCCUGGGAUCCCUGCCUUCUCCUCUCUCAAGGGAGUUGAAGUCAAAAUGGAAGAAACGAACUUUUAAAAGUCUAUGCAAAGAAUAAUAAAACUGACAAGUAUCUGCAAUUCUACUGUCCCUGAAUAGUGAGACAUCCAGAUUUUUGGACCAGAUCUGUGACUUCAUUGAUCUGAGGAGCUCCCCAGGGAAGAAACCCUCUAGUAACACAGAUUGACACCUGUUCUGCAAUUAAGUCUUAAAAGAGUUGCCUGUGGUCCCCGAAAGGUUAAAUGAUUUGCUGUGGGCCACACAGACAACACAGGUCAGAAUUAGGAGUUGAAGCCAUCUUCCUGACCCUGGAGGCCAGCUCUCUGCAUGAUACUGUAAUGCCUAUCUGGCACCCACAUUUACCUCUAGUAAAAAUCAUUCCAUAGUACUUCAGAGCAAAAAGGGAUUUUUCAUGUAAUAGACACAGCUCUCAUAGACAACAUAAAGAAGGCAUAGUAUAACCACUAAAAACAUCUUUAACAAUUUUCUUAA